CAUCCGGUCGAUCCUGCCGGAGCGCGACGCUCUCCCCAAGGACGAAGCCAUGCAUGCCCGCUCACCCGGGACGCGGCGGACGGCUCAGGACAACGGUUGCACCCCCCGCGGCGGUCCCUGCUAGCCGGACACCGCUGGCAACCCGGCGCCAAGACGUGCGCGCAAGGGCGGGCGCCCGCGGGCGAGCAGCGUGACGCAGCGACGGCCCGC
rnacentral:rRNA from 1 species